AACGUAGGAGGCAAGCGUUAUCCGGAGUUACUGGGCGUAAAGCGCGCGCAGGCGGUGCGUUAAGUGUGGGGUCAAAGACACAGGCUCAACCUGGGGAAGGCAACACAGACUGACGGACUGGAGGCAGCUAGAGGGACGCGGAAUUCGGGGUGUAGCGGUGAAAUGUGUAGAGAUCCCGAGGAACACCAGCGGUGAAGACGGCGUCCUGGGGCUGACCUGACGCUGAGGCGCGAAGGCGUGGGGAGCGAACGGG
rnacentral:rRNA from 1 species